CCAUGUAGUUGUCGGUGAGAUUUCCUAGGGACGAGCUUGCGCCUGAUUAGUUAGUUGGCGAGGUAAUGGCUCACCAAGACUAUGAUCAGUAGCUGGUUUGAGAGAGCGGUCAGCCACAUUGGGAUUGAGAUACGGCCCAAACUUCUUCGGGGGGCAGCAGUCGGGAAUUUUCCGCAAUGGGCGCAAGCCUGACGGAGCGAUGCCUUGUGGAGGAUGAAGGAUCAUAAAGGUUCGUAAACUCCUUUUAUUAAGGAACAUUAAUUGUCGUUUCCGUAUUUAGAUAGUACUUAAAGAAUCAAGUAUCGGCUAACUCUGUGCCAGCAGCCGCGGUAAUACGGGGGAUGCAAACGUUGUCCAGUUGUAUUGGGCGUAAAGCGUCCGUAGGUGGACUGGUAAGUUUAUUGUUAAAGAUUCUGGCUCAACCAGGAAAAAGCAAUGAAAACUGCUGGACUAGAGAGUGGACGGGGUGAAGAGAAUAUCUAGUGGAGCGGUAAAAUGCGAUGAUAUUAGGCGGAACACCAGUGGCGAAAGCGCUUCACUAGACCAUUUCUGACACUGAGGGACGAAAGCUAGGGGAGCAAAAAGGAUUAGGUACCCUUGUAGUCCUAUCGCUGUAAACGCUGGGUACUAGAUGUCGCAGUGGUGCGGUGUCUUAGCUAACGCGUUAAGUACCCCGCCUGGGGAGUACGCUCGCAAGGGUGAAACUCAAAGGAAUUGACGGGACCCCUCGCAAGCGGUGGAGCAUGCUGUUUAAUUCGAUGCAACGCGAAGAACCUUACCUAGAUUUGACCUUCUAUAAAUCUCCAUGAAAAUGGAGGAAACCAAACUUACAUGGUGUAAAAGCUUCUUAGGGAGCAGUAGUUACAGGUGGUGCAUGGCUGUCGUCAGUUCGUGUCGUGAGAUGUCAGGUUAAGUCCUAGUAACGAACGCAACCCUUAUCCUUAGUUAAUUAUAUGUCUAGGGAAACGGCCAACGAUCAAGUUGGAGGAAGGAGAGGAUGACGUCAAGUCAGCAUGCCCCGUAUGUCUAGGGCUACAAGCGUGCUACAAUGACUAUUCAACAAAAAGUCGCAACUUUGUGAAAGGAAGCGAAUCUACAAAUGAGGUCACAGUUCGGAUUGUAGGCUGCAACUCGGCUACAUGAAGUCGGAAUCGCUAGUAAUCGCUGUCAGC
rnacentral:rRNA from 1 species